rnacentral:lncRNA from 1 species
UUGCCCUUUUCUGCCUUUUUUGAACCCAAAACAGCGGCGGAUUUUGAGUUUUCGCUGCUUUUUUUUCACACCUGCAGCACACAAAAGGCAGAGUUGGUAAAACACGUUUGGAACAACAAAAUCCCCCCAAACACCCCCAAAAUACUCACCUGGAGACCCCAAAAAUUCAAUUUUUCACCCAAAAACCGGCGGCUGAACCACCAGAAAUUCUCUUUUUUUUGGCUUUUUUUUACCAAUUUUUCCCUGAGUUUUCAACCAUUUUUUCACCUUUUUUUGGCUUUUCUUCACCAAUUUUAUCCUGAUUUUUUAUCCAUUUUUUCACCUUUUUUUACCGAUUUUUCCCUGAUUUUUUAACCAUUUUUUCACCUUUUUUUUUUGCAUUUUUUUAACUCUUUUUAUCUAUGUUUCUUCUUUUCUGAAAUUUCUGAACCAUUUUUACCUUUUUUGCAUUCAUUUCACCAUUUCCCAAAUCUUUUCUUGGCAUUUUUUCCCAUUUUCUCUUUUUUUUUUUGCAUUUUUACCCAAUUUUCCCCUCAUUUUUUGAAUUUUCCAAACCAUUUUUCCCCAUUUUGGGGCCUUUUUUUUCCCAUUUUUUACCCUUUUCUCAUUUUAUUUUAAAGUAAUUUUUUAUUUUUUACCUUUUUCAUUUUAUUUUGCAUUUUUAACCGAAUCUUCCUUUUUUUUCCAUUUUUCAACCCACAUUUCCCUUUUUUCUGCAUUUUUUCACCAUUUUUGUACCAUUUUCCCCCUUUUUUUACCAUUUU